UCCAGUUUACUAAGCUAACACUGGACUCGUUACAAUAUGGUUAACCAUGGAUCAUUGGACCGUAAAGGAUGGUGAAGAAAGCAAAGAAAAAUGAACAAUUUUCCAUUUGUUAUUUAAUAUCAUGUUCAAGGUAAAGGAAUGAAUUGAACGUCUACCAGAUUAGAGGAGAGAAGGAGAAACAUUUUGAACCGGAAAUCUUUCGAAACAUCUAAAUGUGAAUAGAAGAUGAAUGAAAACAGAAAGAAGGGAAAAGAUGAAGAUAAAGUGAAAGAAGAUGACGAUUUGAGGAUGAAAAUCACAAGACAUGAGAUAUUUGCUUUUUGUCUUUAAGGUGUCUCUCCAAAAAUGUCCCACGGUUCCCAUAACAACUGUAGGAUGUGGAUGAGGAUGAUAAACCGAGAUGGAGUAAAUAACUUGAUGUCUUUUGGAUAAACCCUCAACUGUUUCAACUGCAGUUUGUUAAUCGUCAUUGUUUCAUUUCAAUUUAUUGUCAUUCCUGUUGAUGCAUGCAAUUUCAUUGACCAAUACCAUAACCAGAAAAAUAUUUCAAUGCUGUUCAAUCAUUUAAUACCAAACUCUGGUGGAAAUUUCAUUAACUCACUGGGAAUCGGUUAAAUUACAUGCUUGUUACUUCUUGAUAACAGGUAUUGUCACUCAUUUUCGAGUAAAGAAGAGGAUUAGACAAGCGAUUUGAUUCAAAUGAUUGACUUUUAAUUAGCUGGAUGCAACUAAUUGACUAUUUAGUACAGCUAAUGGAUAAAGCGACAGAAUUGGCCAUUUCACAUUUGUCAGCAACUUGGAUGAAAAUUUCGCUACUGUUCAUCUCACUGUAUGCUAAUUUUAUAAAGUUUAAUGAACUCAAAUUAUCUGUUGGUCUUGGCUCAUUGUUUUAAUCAAUUAAUACAAUCGAGCGACAUUAUUAAAAUGUCAAUGUAAGCUAAUAUUGUCAUUGUAUUUAUCUAUAGUCUUAUUGAUUGAGAUGGAAAUAAAAUCACUAAAAUAACCA